CGCAGAGUAGGGGAGCAGGCGUUAAGUGCCGGAUGGACAGGGAGUUGCCGUCCGGACGAAGAAGGAAACCUUCGCGGUCUGUUCCCCGCAUCCCGCUGCA
rnacentral:ncRNA from 20 species